rnacentral:lncRNA from 1 species
CAUUGCUUUAUCUACAUGAGUCGGGAAGACUGGAGAUAAGAGUGGGAUAGACAUGCAGCCUUGUUUCUGUCGAGCACCAGAAGCCUGCAUCAGGUCCGCUGGACAUCUCCCUUUGGAUGUCUCGUCGAGAGAUUAUUAGUACAACAGGAGACGAGGAGCUAAAGGUAAGGCAGACCCUAUGUAUUUUUCUCCUCGUCUCUGCUUCUCAGACUUGUCCUUUUGGAGAGCAGUGAUAAAGCAGAUGGAUUUAGUUUUUAUGUCAGUCAUCAUCAGCUGGGUGGAAGUUUUUGUGUGAAAGAAAAGGCUAGCAUUAAAUUGAUUGAUGGUUCAUUUUUCCUAUUUGCUCCUUGGUCAUUGGAGUGACACCAGGAGGGCUGUCUCGUUAGAGGAGUGUGAGACAAUGGCUCUGACACACACAGAAUUCAUCGCUUGUAAUUGAUCCCUGGAAAUAGCAUAGUCACACAUCGUCCCCAAUAAAUUUGCCUGNNNNNNNNNNNNNNNNNNNNNNNNNNNNNNNNNNNNNNNNNNNNNNNNNNNNAGGCUAUAAGAAAUUAACAGCAUGUAAUCUCACAAGGAAUAUUUGUCGUCGAAUUUCUCCAACAAAUGGGAGAUGACAAAUAUUUCACAUGUGGAUUAAUAAUUUCACCUUUGAGUUUUCUUCAUUUCCGGUCACAACCAGGCCAUACAAGAUGUACAAAUGUGUGAUUUCAGGCACAGCUGUGGUUGUACAAGGCACAGGUGUUGUUUCCUAGCAGACUUUAGCCUUAGAUCCUAUUGUUGUUAUCACUCCCCUUAUCAAAACAUCCAGGGUUUUUGCCCUAGCAGGUGAUGCUCCAAGAAGGAAGGAAGAAAUAAUUCUCCAACUGGACCCACUAUUGUCCACCAGGGUUUACUUUCCCCUGGGGACUUGCUCAUAGAAAAUUCCUCUGCCACCAGCCUGCCCCCAGAAAUGGCUGCAGCCCCUUGAGUGCUCCAACACAAGUGGGGACAAAAUCUUCUGUCUCUGGCUGUCCUUAGCACAGAUAAGCCUGGCUGGACCUGUCAGAGAAAAUUGAAGAACAAAAGGAGCACACAGGAGGGAUAAACACAAAGAAGGCAAGAAUGAUAAAAUGCUCUGCUUAGAAAGUGCAAAUUUCUGAACCUGCCUGAGCCACCGAGCUCUGAAGGCUCAAGGGCCCUUCUCUUUCUAUAAUUUUCUCCUGAGGAUGAUGCUAUGCUUAACCUGAAAAGAGAGCAGGGCGCCUGACUUCCUGGCUUCUCAGCAAUGGUGUCACUAGUUAUAGAUGCCUCUCCGCAGAAAGUCUGAGUUCUCCUUUUGUUCUUCUCAUGCAGACAGUAUCAAAGCAGCUCACCCUUCUUCCAGCAGGAAACGUGAAUGUGUGAAAAGAGCGACCAUUUGUUAGACUCUGUUUCUGGCCCAGCAUCAUGAUGUUUCUUAGGGUAAGGGGCAGGGGAGGAUGGAGAGGCAAUAGUGAAGAAACUGUUUUGUGAUUCAGAGGAAAGAGCAAGGUGACAAAAAAAAAAAGGACCAUGAUUUAAUUUUAAUUAAAAUUAAAUAGGCAUACAUGACUGGUGGUUAAUGUUUUAGUGAAGCUCAAGAGACUAAGCGUGGCUGGGGCCCAGCAGAAAGUAGGUCCAGCAUCUCUGCCGCAAAGGCAAAGUCAUNNNNNNNNNNNNNNNNNNNNNNNNNNNNNNNNNNNNNNNNNNNNNNNNNNNNNNNNNNNUAAAGGGGGGAAAUGAUUUGGCUGUUGGCUAGUGGCCUCCUGCCCUAGCCUGGCUGUUUGUGCCCACAACCACCCACCAGCCUGAAGGAUCAGGUUGCUGCUUUGAUUUAGCCUCUCUAUUGCCACUCAGCCCGCACCUUUGCUGUCUCACCCUCCUGUACAGUGAGGCCUUUCCCUGGCCAUUUGAUUCCUGUUAGAGAACCAGGCAUUUCCCAGGUGACGGUGGAAAUAAGGUAGCCCCGGUGCAUGCUGUAAGGAAGGCGCAUGCGCACAUAUGCAUGCGCACACGCAUGCGCCGUCUAGACCAAGGCGGGCACCUGUUCCAUCCCAGGGAGUAGAGGCGGCCACAUUCCCAAGGGGUUCUGUUACAGGCGGCCACAGGCUCCAAAGCCCAGAGCUGAUUCUGCUCUGGCUCCACUUCUUUCCUCUGCUGUCUGCUUAGUAAAGGAGCAGUCGCAAAGGCCAGGCCCAAGGCCCGCAGGUCACUAUAGAGUAUGGUGACCCCUAAGAAAACAAGAUCAACCGUCUUCAGGGCCCAUCCCCAACCUGCAAGGGGUCCCUGAGUUUACUAGUUAUUUGGGAUCACAAAGAUCCCAAGCAAUUUGCACAGUCUCCUUGCUGCCACUCCUCUCCUAACCAGAAGCAACCAGGGAGCGAGACGCCACUUCACAUGGGACAAAGGUGGAUGUGAGAUGUGCAAGACCAGACCCUGAGGAAGGGCCACGGUGACCCAAGGGCUGGGCCCUUCAGCCUAAACUUACCUCUAGACUGAAAGGUGAUAGGUCCCAGGUGGAGCCCAGAGGGAGGGGGUGGGCAGCUGAGAUGGAGGCCAGGCUGGAAGGACUGGAGGGGAGCCAAUACUGGUGUGUCUGCACACAGGAGCUGGGAGAGUCUCCCUAGAGCCUCAGGGCUCUUCCAGCAAAAGGUAAAGUUUGAACCCCCCCCCCCCACUCCGAGGAGUCCAGCCCUCCUGCAGCGCUCUUACACCCCACCCUAUCCCCAUCCCUGCAACCUGCAACUUGGCCUCCACCCCUUUCCCACACUCUGCCCCUACUAUCCGACAGAGUUUUGAGCCAGGGCCGUAGGGGCCCUGAAGGGAGGCCGGUCUUCUCUUUCACCUUGAUUCCUGGGACACGCUGCGUCAUCAUGGCAGAGGCCAAGAGCUAGACCCCGUGCCCGGGAUGCAGACUGAGCAGAAAGGGUGGAGGAGGCCGAGCAUGGAGUUGUGGACCAUCUCUCACCCUGCCCAGAGCCCCCAGCACCCCAGUUCUUGCCAUGUGCCCUCUUGUGGGUGCUGAUGGGGCGUGGUGAGAGAUGCAGUGCACAGCCACAGCCUCCUCUCACCAGACCCUGGGACUCACCCUCUGCCCCCCACUCUCAGACAUCUGUUGAAUCCCUGACUUCAAGCCUCACAUGGUGAAGCUCCUCCCUGUGGAAAUAAAGGGUUCAAGAAGGAUCUGGAAGGAGACAGAAACUCAGCUCAGCUGGCACAUCAAGGUCAGGGGCCUCACCUCUCCUAAUUUUAAAGAGAAAGAUCUGUAAGCAGAGGAGAGAAGCCAGCCGAGUGACCCCUGAGUGGAAAUCAGGACAGAAAUCUUUUGCAACAGAAUCCCCAUGGGAAACAUGACAAAAUUAGCAACAGGAAUGAGGUCUCCCUCGGAGGAUACAAGAAUCACUGGGUUGAAAAUAACCACAAGGUCAUCUAGUUCAGCUGCCACCACUUGCCUGAAUUUUUCCAGAAAUUUUUGGACAAGCAGUCAUCCAGCCUCAUCCAGCAGCUCAGUACUCAGCAGCCCCCUCCUGAUGGCGGGCAAGGUUUUAAAGGCCCCUGGGGCUCUCGUGCUUCCAGGGGCAGCUCGCAGAGGGCAGCGGGCAGCAGGCAGCACACAGGGGCCCGGGUCCAGCGCUUCCCUCCCUCCGGCUGCUGUGUUUAUACUCCAUUGAUUCACAGCAAAGACUCUUGGCGAGAUCAAGAUUUCUUUACACCGCUCGUGUGGCUGCUUUAGUGAACCAGCCUUAAAACAUGCCCCAGAGGAGGUCAGUUUUUGGUUAUCAUUGGCUUUAAUUCCUGGAAAAGUUCUGGGAAUCACGAUUUCAGAACCAGAAAGAGCUUCGGCAUCUCAUCCAGCCACCUCACAUGACUCGUGAGAACCGAAGGGAGCCUGGAGCCUAGGGUGGAAUUCAGACCUUAUUCCCCACUGUUCCCCCCAGUGCCCUCUGAGGUGCAGUCCCAGUGGCUCUGGGACCCUCCAGAAGGUGCUCAGUGGCCUCUCUAGGGUCUCGUGUUACCUGAUCCACUGCAGCCCUGGCCCUGUGGACUCCUCCCCGGUUCUCAGCUCCUCCCUUGGUCUUUGCAGCCCCAUUCCCGGCUAGUAGGCUGGGGAAAGGGUGUGCAGUGUCCAUGCCUUUUCAGUGCCUCGCUUUCCCGUGUCUCCACCUGUGCACAAGCCUAGAAGCACUCCAAACUCUCUCCUUUUGGAUUUUUUUAAUGGAGGCUUCAUUGUAUUGACUGAUUAAAUCAUUAGCCGCUGGAAAUUCCAAAGGUUUUGGGAGCUGUGAUCCAGGAACCAUGGAACCAGUAUCUGUGAGGAAUAUAUUUUAGUCCUCUGAAUGACCAAAUAACUCUUAUUAUAACUCACAAUAUCUGAGGCUGCCACAGUUUGUGCAGCCACUCCUUGACCACUGCCCCCUCCAACCAUUUCAGCCACUAAGUCUUACUCGCCUUAAAAAUAGUCGUGCUUGUUUGGGCAGCUUCUCUCCACGGAUUGAGUCUUUCACAGCUACAUUUUUUGAUCAGUAUCUACCCUUUGCUUCCACUUCAUCCCCUUCCCUCCAGCUGUCACCACAGUUUUUAUCUGUCUUACGCCCCAGCGCUCCCCUGGACCUGCUCUCACCAGCGGACUUCACCUUCCUAAUUCCAAUGUUUACUUUUAGUCCCUGCCUUGCUUGAUGGCCUCAUAAUAUUUGGCACAGCUGACUGUACCCUCCCUUGUAAAACUCUCCUUUCGCUUGGGUUCCUCGACCCAAUGUUUUUCUCCUAACUUCCAAGUAGGCUCUUUUGCCUACGUGACCCAGGCCUUGAAAUCCUGGAGUCACGUGGCACUCUGUCCCGGAGCUCCUUCCUGAGUCAGCCCACCUCUUUCCUCGUGAUCCCAUCCGCCCCGGUGACUUGGCUCGCCAUCUGUCUGUAAACGAAUGGCCCUUUAAUCUGUGGCACCUGCUCAGACUUGCUCCUGAGCCAGAAUGUCACCACGGGAUGUUGCAUAUGUAUAGCUCUCUGACCCUCGAUGUGUCAGAAGAUGACUCAGAACCUUCUCCCUGGUCUCACCGUCACCACCCAUCACUCUGCACCCCAGGAAACAGCUUACACUUGCUAUUCAAGGCAGACCCUGAGGGCCUUGAACCCCUUUCCCUUCCUAACCACCCCACUCCUCUUCCAAUAGGCUCUAAGGUCAUGUCCUUCUCUCUAAUGCAGCUGUCCCAGGCUCUGACCAUCACUUCUUAUUUGCAUGUAGCAGACACCUCUAACCACACCUCCCUGUGUCCACUCUUGACUUCUUCCAAUCCACUCUCAUGUUGCAGCCAGAGAGGAUGUUACAAGGCGCACAUGGGAUUAUGUCACCUGACUGCUUCAAAGCCUUCAAUGGUCCCCAUGUUUAGGAUGGCACCCCAAACCUCAACAUGGCUGGAUUUCUGUCUCACAAUGCUUUUUCUCAAACAUAGUUCUCCAGCUUAAUUCAACAUUUUCAUUUCUUCCAAUGCCUCCGCUAUUUUUCAUGUCUAAUUAGUUAGCAUUCCCUGCCCAUUAGAUUUAAAUUUAAAGACCCAUGACGUUAUGAAUCUGUUUUAUUCACCACUAUACAUAUAUAGCAAUUAGCACAAUGUCUGACAAAUAUUUGGAAACUACAUGAUUUAUUUAUUCAGAAAAUAGUUUUUAAAUGCCUGGUCUGUGUCAAGCUCCAUUCUUGAUUCUUGGUGAUGUGGAAAUAUUUUUUUUAAAAGAGAGACAAAACCCUUUGCCCUUAAGGAGUUAUAUUCUACUAGAGAGAGAGAAACACAAUGAGAAGAAUAGGUGGUAUAUCUGAUGGUGAUAACUGCCAAAGAAAAAAAUUAAGUAGGGAAGGAGGGGGGAUAAAGAAAGAAAGGAGGCAGACAGAAGGAGGGAUGGAGAGACAGAGGGAAGGAGUGAUGGAGAGACAGAGGGAAGCAAGCAGAUAUUUGGGGGAAGAACAUCCAACAAGGAGAGUGGCAAGUUCAAAGGUCCUGGAUGGAUAUAUGCCUUCAGAGUUCAUGGCCAGAAAGAAGGUCAGUAUGACUAGAGAGAAUGAGGCAGGGAGAGCAGUGGAAGAUCAGUGCGGAGACUCGAAGGGCUCCCUGAUGCAGGGCUGGUGGUCCUGAGGGAGCCGUCGCCGUGUGUGCAACGCAGAGCUGCUGGAGCGCUCUGGGUAGAGGGGUGCUGUGGCAGGACGAGGAUUUCAGCGGUCUCACUCAGCAUGCCAGCAUGCUCUGUUGGAAACAAACUGAACAGGAGUAAAGAUGGGAGCAAAAGUGCCUGGUAGGAGGCUGCUGCCGCCACCCAGGUGAUCCAUAAUGGCAGCUGCAACCAGGGUGGUAGCAGAGAGGUUGAAUCCUUUACACAUCGUGAAGGUAGAGGUGACACAGUUUCCUGAUGAUCGGAAUGUAGCAUUUACGAGAAAGAGGAAUCGAGAACGAUUCCAACGGUAACCCUAAGUUUGGUUUCGGAAUCUUGGAAUCUGUUUCUGUUUUGUAAGUUCUGUGGUAUCAAAUGCCACGGGUUAGUGAUGUCAUGUUACUUGUUUUUCCAAGUGGGAAAUGUGGGGAGAGAAAUAAUUUGGGAGGUUGGGACUAACAUGUACACACUGUGAUAUAUAAAAUUGAUAAGUAACAAGGACCUACUUCCCAGCACAGGUAAAUCUACUCAAUGAUGUACAGGGGAAAAGAGACUGAAAAGGAAUGAUUUUAUGUAAGUGUGUGUGUGUGUGUGUGUGUGUGUGUGUGUGUGGAGAUUCACUUUGCUGUGCACCUGAAACUAACACAACAUUGUAAGUCAAUUACACUCCAAUAAAA